UACGUAGGGUGCGAGCGUUUAAUCGGAAUUACUGGGCGUAAAGCGUGCGCAGGCGGUCUGUUAAGACCGAUGUGAAAUCCCCGGGCUUAACCUGGGAACUGCAUUGGUGACUGGCAGGCUUUGAGUGUGGCAGAGGGAGGUAGAAUUCCACGUGUAGCAGUGAAAUGCGUAGAGAUGUGGAGGAAUACCGAUGGCGAACGGCAGCCCCCUGG
rnacentral:rRNA from 1 species